UACGUAGGUGGCAAGCGUUGUCCGGAAUCAUUGGGCGUAAAGCGCGUGUAGGCGGCCCGGUAAGUCCGCUGUGAAAGUCGGGGGCUCAACCCUCGGAUGCCGGUGGAUACUGUCGGGCUCGAGUACGGAAGAGGCGAGUGGAAUUCCUGGUGUAGCGGUGAAAUGCGCAGAUAUCAGGAGGAACACCAAUUGCGAAGGCAGCUCGCUGGGACGUUACUGACGCUGAGACGCGAAAGCGUGGGGAGCAAACAGG
rnacentral:rRNA from 1 species